rnacentral:rRNA from 1 species
AUACGUAGGGAGCAAACGUUGUCCGGAUUUAUUGGGCGUAAAGGGCUCGUAGGCGGUUCAACAAGUCGGUUGUGAAAGCCCGGGGCUCAACCCCGGGACGCCGGUCGAAACUGUUGUGACUAGAGUUCGGUAGAGGUGAGUGGAAUUCUCGGUGUAGCGGUGGAAUGCGCAGAUAUCGAGAGGAACACCAUUAGCGAAGGCGGCUCACUGGGCCGAUACUGACGCUGAGGAGCGAAAGCGUGGGGAGCAAACAGGAUUAGAAACCCUAGUAGUCC